GCCCAGGUGGUGAAAUGGCAGACACGCUAGCUUCAGGUGCUAGUGGCCGCAAGGCCGUGGAGGUUCAAGUCCUCUCCUGGGCACCA
rnacentral:tRNA from 1 species